rnacentral:rRNA from 1 species
GAUGAACGCUGGCGGCGUGCCUAAUACAUGCAAGUCGAGCGAACGGACGAGGAGCUUGCUUCUCUGAUGUUAGCGGCGGACGGGUGAGUAACACGUGGAUAACCUACCUAUAAGACUGGGAUAACUUCGGGAAACCGGAGCUAAUACCGGAUAAUAUUUUGAACCGCAUGGUUCAAAAGUGAAAGACGGUCUUGCUGUCACUUAUAGAUGGAUCCGCGCUGCAUUAGCUAGUUGGUAAGGUAACGGCUUACCAAGGCAACGAUGCAUAGCCGACCUGAGAGGGUGAUCGGCCACACUGGAACUGAGACACGGUCCAGACUCCUACGGGAGGCAGCAGUAGGGAAUCUUCCGCAAUGGGCGAAAGCCUGACGGAGCAACGCCGCGUGAGUGAUGAAGGUCUUCGGAUCGUAAAACUCUGUUAUUAGGGAAGAACAUAUGUGUAAGUAACUGUGCACAUCUUGACGGUACCUAAUCAGAAAGCCACGGCUAACUACGUGCCAGCAGCCGCGGUAAUACGUAGGUGGCAAGCGUUAUCCGGAAUUAUUGGGCGUAAAGCGCGCGUAGGCGGUUUUUUAAGUCUGAUGUGAAAGCCCACGGCUCAACCGUGGAGGGUCAUUGGAAACUGGAAAACUUGAGUGCAGAAGAGGAAAGUGGAAUUCCAUGUGUAGCGGUGAAAUGCGCAGAGAUAUGGAGGAACACCAGUGGCGAAGGCGACUUUCUGGUCUGUAACUGACGCUGAUGUGCGAAAGCGUGGGGAUCAAACAGGAUUAGAUACCCUGGUAGUCCACGCCGUAAACGAUGAGUGCUAAGUGUUAGGGGGUUUCCGCCCCUUAGUGCUGCAGCUAACGCAUUAAGCACUCCGCCUGGGGAGUACGACCGCAAGGUUGAAACUCAAAGGAAUUGACGGGGACCCGCACAAGCGGUGGAGCAUGUGGUUUAAUUCGAAGCAACGCGAAGAACCUUACCAAAUCUUGACAUCCUUUGACAACUCUAGAGAUAGAGCCUUCCCCUUCGGGGGACAAAGUGACAGGUGGUGCAUGGUUGUCGUCAGCUCGUGUCGUGAGAUGUUGGGCUAAGUCCCGCAACGAGCGCAACCCUUAAGCUUAGUUGCCAUCAUUAAGUUGGGCACUCUAAGUUGACUGCCGGUGACAAACCGGAGGAAGGUGGGGAUGACGUCAAAUCAUCAUGCCCCUUAUGAUUUGGGCUACACACGUGCUACAAUGGACAAUACAAAGGGCAGCGAAACCGCGAGGUCAAGCAAAUCCCAUAAAGUUGUUCUCAGUUCGGAUUGUAGUCUGCAACUCGACUACAUGAAGCUGGAAUCGCUAGUAAUCGUAGAUCAGCAUGCUACGGUGAAUACGUUCCCGGGUCU